AUGCAGUGGGUGCGACAGGCGCCCGGGAAGGGGCUCGAAUAUGUCGUGAGUAUUGACAACGAUGGUAGCACCUACUACGCGCCGUCGGUCAAAGGACGCUUCACCAUCUCGAGGGACAACUCCCAGAGCACGGUCACGCUGCAGAUGAACAGCCUCAGGGCCGACGACACGGCCACCUACUACUGCGGGAAAGAAGAUGAUAAUUAUGGGCUGUGGGCGGCCGUGCAACUGGUCGAGUCCGGGGGGGGCCUGCAGAAACCCGGGGGGUCCCUGGGCCUCGUCUGCAAGAUGUCCGGCUUCGACUUCAGCAGCUACGGCAUGUUCUGGGUGCGACAGACGCCCGGGAAGGGGCUCGAGUGGCUGGUGGGUAUUCAGUACAGCGGUGGCAGCACCUUCUACGCGCCGGUGGCCCGAGGACGCUUCACCAUCUCGAGGGACAACUCCCAGAGCACGGUCACGCUGCAGAUGAACAGCCUCAGGGCCGACGACACGGCCACCUACUACUGCGCGAAAAAUGCUGAUGGUGGUGGCACCAACCCCGGCAUUGAGCCCCAACAUCCCUGUGCUGCAUCCUCAAAUCCUGGCAUCUUCCUCAAACUCCUGCCUUAUUUCUCGAUUCUUUUUUGA